AGAAAGUAUGCAAGAACUGCUAACUCAUGCCUCCACGCUUAAACCCGUGGCUUUCUUAA
rnacentral:tRNA from 1 species